rnacentral:rRNA from 1 species
GCAUAUCAAUAAGCGGAGGAAAAGAAACCAACAGGGAUUGCCCUAGUAACGGCGAGUGAAGCGGCAAGAGCUCAAAUUUGAAAUCUGGCCCUCUCAGGGUCCGAGUUGUAAUUUGUAGAGGGCGCUUUGGCGUCGGCUACGGCCUAAGUUCCUUGGAACAGGACGUCACAGAGGGUGAGAACCCCGUACGUGGCCGCUGGCCUUCGCCGUGUAAAGCCCCUUCGACGAGUCGAGUUGUUUGGGAAUGCAGCUCUAAAUGGGAGGUAAAUUUCUUCUAAAGCUAAAUACUGGCCAGAGACCGAUAGCGCACAAGUAGAGUGAUCGAAAGAUGAAAAGCACUUUGGAAAGAGAGUCAAAAAGCACGUGAAAUUGUUGAAAGGGAAGCGCUUGCAGCCAGACUUGCCUGUAGUUGCUCACCCGAGCCACCGGCUCGGUGCACUCUUCUGCGGGCAGGCCAGCAUCAGUCCGGGCGGUCGGAUAAAGGCCUCGGGAAUGUAGCUCCCCUCGGGGAGUGUUAUAGCCCGGGGUGCCAUGCGACCAGCCUGGACUGAGGUCCGCGCAUCUGCUAGGAUGCUGGCGUAAUGGCUGUAAGCGGCCCGUCUUGAAACACGGACCAAGGAGUCUAACAUCUAUGCGAGUGUUUGGGUGUCAAGCCCGGGCGCGCAAUGAAAGUGAACGGAGGUGGGAACCCCUCGGGGCGCACCAUCGACCGAUCCUGAUGUCUUCGGAUGGAUUUGAGUAAGAGCAUAGCUGUUGGGACCCGAAAGAUGGUGAACUAUGCCUGAAUAGGGUGAAGCCAGAGGAAACUCUGGUGGAGGCUCGCAGCGGUUCUGACGUGCAAAUCGAUCGUCAAAUUUGGGCAUAGGGGCGAAAGACUAAUCGAACUAUCUAGUAGCUGGUUCCUGCG